GAUGAACGCUGGCGGCGUGUCUAAUACAUGCAAGUCGAGCGAUGCGGGGACGGGUGAGUCACACGUGGGUCACCUCCUAUAAGACUGGGAUGACAUCGGGAACCCGGAGCUAAACCGGAUACUUAUCGGUGGAUGCGCGGUGCACUGGCUAGUUGGUAAGGUAACGGCUUACCAAGGCAACGAUGCAUAGCCGACCUGCGAGUUUCAGCGUCCACACGGUAAAUGAGCCACGGUCCUGACGCCUACGCGACGCAUCAGUAGGGAAUGUGCCGCAAUGGGCGAAAGGCUGAAGGUGCAACGCAGAGUGAGUGAUGAAGGUCUGCGGAGCGUAAAACUCUGUUAUUAGGGAAGCGAUACCUAAGCAGAAAGCCACGGCUCACUGCUUUCCAGCAGCCGCGGUAAUAC
rnacentral:rRNA from 1 species